rnacentral:RNase_P_RNA from 1 species
CGAGCGGGCUGGGCGAUCGCUGGGCGAAUCCUGAAAAGGAAGAGCCUGGAGGAAAGUCCGGACUCCGCAGGGCAGCGCGCCUGGUAACGCCAGGGGGCCAAACGCCGGUGAUGCGGGCGUUGGGCCACGGAUAGUGCCACAGAAAAUAAACCGCCGGUGAACGCGGAUCGAUGAUCAGCCCGAGGCCAAACCUCUGGCGGAUCUUUUUCAAUCGCGCCACUUGGCAAGGGUGAAACGGUAGGGUAAGAGCCUACCGCGCGGGCAGCAAUGUCCGCGGCACGGUAAACCCCGCGCGGUGCAAGGCCAAAUAGGAGGGGAGGGCCGGCCCGGCCCGUUAAUGUGAGAGCGCUUCGCGGCGUUCUCACGAAACCCUCGGGUAGGCCGCACCGAGCCGUCGAGCGAUCGGCGGCCCAGAGGAAUGAUCGCCUCCGCGACUGAGCACGGCGUCGCGGCUUCAUGCCGCGAUGGCUCUCAGCCGUGAAGACAGAAUCCGGCUUAUAGGCCCGCUCGCUCU